rnacentral:lncRNA from 1 species
UCAGCUAUGUUGGGAGUCCUCUCAGUGGAUAUUUCAGGUUAUGAUUAAUUGGAUUUUGACCAAAAUUUAAUGAAAGAGGAUUGAUCAUGGAAUAUUAUCAUACAAUGUAAUUAUUUGUUUAUUAGUCAAUUUGGAAGUUCAUUUUGAUAUGGGGGUAUAUUGUAAUAUUACUUCUAGCUUGAAGUUAAUCAUUUUGUGGCAAGUUAGGAUCUCUUCAUAAGAAAUUGUUUAAGAUUUAAG